UUGCUCACGUCGGCAGCACAUAUACUAAAAUUGGAAUGAUAUAGAGGAGAUCAGCAUGGCUCUUGCACAAGGAUGACACGCAAAUUCAUGAAGCAUUCCAUAUUUAA